CUGCGGCGACAGCGCAGGACCCGCACUGACGACACGGGCUUAUGGCAGGUCAGAAUUAGCCAAAACACAUUUUUAGUUGAACAAGACUCAUUUCCAGCUAUUAGCACAUCCUAAUGCAGAAACUGCAGUGUAAAUGACACUUCAGUGACAGAGAGUGCAGAGCUGCCACAUCCCGGCGGUGAUGUUUGUAGAGUCAAAUUUCAAACGGCUGCGACGCGACAUCAUCAUCCUGUCUGCUCACAAGUCCCAUCAUUUCUUACUGCAGGAUCCAGUGUGUGGAGAUCAGCCUCAUGGUGGCGCCCAAGGGCGGGAAGCUGGAAGUUGUCCUCACUAUCGAGUAGAGCAGAGUCUGUCAACCUUUACCUGUUCAAGCCCAGUAUUUCUCUUAGAAAUAAAUCAAGGCAAGAAAGUACAGAAGCUGAAUUUUUCCUAAUGAAAAAGAGCCAGUGUCAACAUAUACAUAGCUAAGUAAAUGAGUUUAUUCUUAAAGGUUAGUAAAACAAAAUUAAAAACUCCUCAGUUUAACAGUGUAAGUACAGUAUAAGAUACUUCUGUAUGAAAGGGGAAAAGAAACAAGUGCAUUUACCAUAACAUAGCUUUUACUCCAAGAUGCGUUGAUGUUAAUGGGAUAGUUCACCCAUUUUGAAUAAUGUGAUAUUAGGGCCCCCUAGUUGUUCUGUAGGACAGUAGUGGGUCUAUCUUCCUCUCAUUGUUACUGAGAGCUGGAUACUCGCUGGAUGCUCUAAAUGCUAACUGUUAGCCUCCUGCCAUUGAGGUGAAACGUCCCCCUGACUAAUAUUCUUUAAAAAAUAACCGCCUUGAUACAGUGAUAGAAACAUUAUUAUUGUACUUGCAUCUACUUGUAUAUCUUGAAAUAAAUAUUUUUUAAAGUUGUAUAUUAAUGGGGGAAAAAAGCUUUUGUUCUGGACCACCAGUGUUUUCAUGGUGUUGGGUUGAAGAGCCACUAGGGGGUGCUCAAGGCCUACUAGUGUGCCGUGGCCCAGUUGAGAAGCCUCAGUCUGGAUGAGUGGCAGUGAAAUGCAGCCCUAAAGGUGUGGAGCAGGAUGUGUUUUGCCAGACAGUUGAUUGCAUCCACCUGCCAUUUCAGGUCUGAUGCAGGGAACAGUUCACUGUCAGGACUUUUGUUUGAAAGAGGUGGAACCAGAAGGUGAAAUUACAUUUGUGGGUUAGGGAUUAGCACUUUUGCCAAUAGCAUUUACAGCUAGUAGUGUUUUGUGUCAGCAUGCAACUCACAUUACAGCAAAGACAGUUCUGUCUUUUCUUCUUGUUCAGUGAUGUAGAGCAGCUGCAGCCAGAAAGAAGAGGCUGUGGCUGCUUCCCACAUCGAAAUAAUCAAAGCCUCAUCCAUUUUGAAUUCAGUGAAUACAAAAGGUCAAUCCUGCAUAAUCUCUCACUGGUUGGGGGUCAGUGGGUCAGGUGAAAUUAAUUUGGCAUCGGAAGUAAUUAUUUAUUUUCAUGUCGGGUGGGCUUUUGAAUGGGUGUGAAUGGAACAGGACUGUUUCUUUAGCACUGGUGUGUCUGCCCCAUAAAUCAGUCCCUGCCGGUCCCUAUCGCAGUGGCUGCCAGGAAAUAAGUUUGAUUUAAUCUAAUCAUCUUCCUUUAUUGCAAAGGGGUUAAUUACUGCAGCAGCCAUGUCAUAGAAAUUAAUCACCUGAGCAGACGAUUUGGGAAUAUUAGUGUAUUCCAGACAGGGAAAGUCAUGUAAUGUGAUCAAAUUCUCUGGGUUACUCAGGACAUUCUGCUUUACAGGAAUGUAGCAGAUGAAUGUAUGCAGCAACUUGAGAGGAAAUUAGACUUAACAAGCAUUAAUAAACCAGUGAGCUGCAACAUUUUUACAGGUGCUUUGAUUUAGAUUUAGAAAUGUUAGGAAAACUAACAAGGUCAAAAUUACCCACAUGGCCAAAAUAUCUGUCUGGUACCGUUUGAGUUUUGAGCUCUAAGGGUAUUGAAACGAGUGAGGUGAUUUCAAGAAAAGUCUGUUUUAGCAGAAUGUCAUUCUCCUUUAAAAAUGUCUGGUAGUGCUCACUGCAAACAUGAACUCAAUAAAGUCAAGUUUCAACAA